AAUAAAAUCUGACUGAGGAGAAGAUCUCCUUCGGGCCAUGGUGAAAAGAAGAAACGUAAAAAGAAUAAACAGAAAUUCAACAAAUAUAGAUUAAUAAUAAUCACAAUGCUGUGCUACAUGACUAUAUUUUGUUUACAAGUGCACCUGUAGACUUAUCUCAAAUUUCAACCUUGACAAGGAGCAUCAACCGUUUGUUAUGGCACUGUAUACAUGCAUUCAACGAACGGUGAGUCAAUACAUAUUUCAAUUUAUACAUAUUAGUUGCAUGUGAGCAUAGUGAUUACGAAAAUAAGAUUUUUGUUUUAUAUAUUAAUAUUUAUUUGUUUUUUUGUAUGUAUGAUUGUGUUUUGUAUGUAUUAGUUUAGGUUAGAAUCUUCUUGUUUCUUUUAUGAAGUUUAUUAUAAUAGAGUAGAAGUCGGAUGAUCCUCCGAUUUCACAAUAUUUCAAAUAUUUAUUUUUUAUUUUUUUAAAUUUAUAAUUUAUAAUGAAUAUUUUAU